rnacentral:rRNA from 1 species
CUNUCGUCAGCUCGUGUCGUGAGAUGUUGGGUUAAGUCCCGUAACGAGCGCAACCCUUGUCCUUAGUUACCAGCACGUUAUGGUGGGCACUCUAAGGAGACUGCCGGUGACAAACCGGAGGAAGGUGGGGAUGACGUCAAGUCAUCAUGGCCCUUACGGCCUGGGCUACACACGUGCUACAAUGGUCGGUACAGAGGGUUGCCAAGCCGCGAGGUGGAGCUAAUCCCACAAAACCGAUCGUAGUCCGGAUCGCAGUCUGCAACUCGACUGCGUGAAGUCGGAAUCGCUAGUAAUCGCGAAUCANAAUGUCGCGGUGAAUACGUUCCCGGGCCUUGUACACACC